GACGAACGCUGGCGGCGUGCUUAACACAUGCAAGUCGAACGGAAAGGCCCCCACCUUGGUGGGGGUGCUCGAGUGGCGAACGGGUGAGUAACACGUGGGUGAUCUGCCCUGUACUUCGGGAUAAGCUUGGGAAACUGGGUCUAAUACCGGAUAGGACCAUGGUUUAGUGUCUCAUGGUGGAAAGAUUAUUGUUUUGGUGCAGGAUGAGCUCGCGGCCUAUCAGCUUGUUGGUGGGGUAAUGGCCUACCAAGGCGUCGACGGGUAGCCGGCCUGAGAGGGUGGACGGCCACAUUGGGACUGAGAUACGGCCCAGACUCCUACGGGAGGCAGCAGUGGGGAAUAUUGCACAAUGGGCGCAAGCCUGAUGCAGCGACGCCGCGUGGGGGAUGACGGCCUUCGGGUUGUAAACUCCUUUCGUUAGGGACGAAGCCACAUUUUUUGGGUGUGGUGACGGUACCUUUGUUAAGAAGCACCGGCUAACUACGUGCCAGCAGCCGCGGUAAUACGUAGGGUGCGAGCGUUGUCCGGAAUUACUGGGCGUAAAGAGCUCGUAGGUGGUUUGUUGCGUCGUCUGUGAAAUUCCGGGGCUUAACUUCGGGGUGGCAGGCGAUACGGGCAUAACUAGAGUGCUGUAGGGGAGACUGGAAUUCCUGGUGUAGCGGUGGAAUGCGCAGAUAUCAGGAGGAACACCGAUGGCGAAGGCAGGUCUCUGGGCAGUAACUGACGCUGAGGAGCGAAAGCAUGGGGAGCGAACAGGAUUAGAUACCCUGGUAGUCCAUGCUGUAAACGGUGGGCGUUAGGUGUGGGGACCGGUUUGGUUUCUGUGCCGUAGCUAACGCAUUAAGCGCCCCGCCUGGGGAGUACGGCCGCAAGGCUAAAACUCAAAGGAAUUGACGGGGGCCCGCACAAGCGGCGGAGCAUGUGGAUUAAUUCGAUGCAACGCGAAGAACCUUACCUGGGUUUGACAUGCACCAGACGGUUGUAGAGAUACGUACCUCCCUUUGUGGUUGGUGUGCAGGUGGUGCAUGGUUGUCGUCAGCUCGUGUCGUGAGAUGUUGGGUUAAGUCCCGCAACGAGCGCAACCCUUGUCUUAUGUUGCCAGCACUUUGGGUGGGGACUCAUGAGAGACUGCCGGGGUUAACUCGGAGGAAGGUGGGGAUGACGUCAAAUCAUCAUGCCCUUUAUGCCCAGGGCUUCACACAUGCUACAAUGGUUAGUACAACGCGCUGCGAACCUGUGAGGGUGAGCGAAUCGCUGAAAGCUAAUCUCAGUUCGGAUUGGGGUCUGCAACUCGACCCCAUGAAGUCGGAGUCGCUAGUAAUCGCAGAUCAGCAAUGCUGCGGUGAAUACGUUCCCGGGCCU
rnacentral:rRNA from 1 species